GCAGAGGCUCUGGGAAGGGAGGAGAACACAGCUACUGUCCUCCAACGGAACAGACUCCCAACCCUGAGAGAGGCAGUGGGGGGUCCUACAACGCAGAGGCUCUGGGAAGGAGAGGACCCAGCUACUGUCCUCCAACGGAACACAGUCCCAACCCUGAGAGAGGCAGUGGGGGGUCCUACAACGCAGAGGCUCUGGGAAGGAGAGGACCCAGCUACUGUCCUCCAACGGAACACAGUCCCAACCCUGAGAGAGGCAGUGGGGGGGUCCUACAACGCAGAGGCUCUGGGAAGGAGAGGACCCAGCUACUGUCCUCCAACGGAACACACUCCCAACCCUGAGAGAGGCAGUGAGGGGGUCCUACAACGCAGAGGAUCUGGGAAGGAGAGGACCCAGCUACUGUCCUCCAACGGAACACAGUCCCAACCCUGAGAGAGAGAGAGAGACCAGUCGGGUAGCAGGUGUCCAAACGCCAUUGGGGGAAAAUAGCAGACAAAUUGUCAAACAAAACCUCACACCCUCACAAACCAUGAUAUAUCUCCCCUUCUGCCCAGAGAAGAUGUCUCAACAAGUUGCUUUAAGCCUGAACACAAGCUGUUGUUUUUUCUGUGUUGAAAUUUACAUUCAUUCACUGAAUCAAGCAGGGAUCCAAUCCAGACCAGUAAUAAAACUUUUUUUUAAAUGUCAAAAGGGAUUCAUGGAUGAGCUAGACACAUCAACUUUGCAGAAGCUCUAGUUUGCAUGGCAGUUAGCAAGUCAUUGUGCAAAAAUAUGUUUAAAAGUGACAAUAUUGUAACUUUUAGCACGACCUGACCAAAUUCACAUAGAAAUGUGAGUUAUAGAUCUAUCAUUCUACUUGGAAGCAAGUCUAAGAAGCGGUAUAUCUGUUCUGUGUGCAAUUUCUAUGCUUCUUGUUCUUAAGUUUUGUUUUUUGUUUUUGUGUCUUUUACUUUAGUUUUCUUUACUGUACACCAGCUUCAAGCAGCUGUUUAGAUGGUAACAUUAUUCUCUACACGAUACUAACUUAUUUUGUCACAAACUGAAAUUUGGCAAACUGUUAGUGUUUUAGCAAUCAGGAAAUGGCAGAGUGAUAUCUGCAUAGUGCAACUUCAAUAUAGAUGAUAAGAUCUGCUAGCAUACCAUGGAUGGUCCCGGAAAUCGAACCCACUAUCCUGGCGUUACAAAUGCCAUACUAUACCAACUGAGCUACAGAGGACCAAACCAAUAACUCAAGCCAAAAGAUAAGAACGCCUUGAAUAAUCUUGUGAUGGUUCUCAAAAAUACAGAACUCCCCCCUCCCCUGUACCUUUACCGCUCAGCAGCAAAGGAAACCUGAUGAAUACCGUGAUGUGCCCAACAUUGAACAUACAUUUACUCAAAAGAUAAUUAAACCCUCUUGCUUAUUAUCACAGACCACCCAUUCCAAAAGAUAGAACCUGCUGCCAAUUCAGUGAAUGAGUUUGACAACACCUAAAGAUCCUGCUUUAAAAUUGAGAAAUUAUGUCCUUGAAAAAAAUAAAUGUAAACUUUGUCUUCUGUUGUCAAGAAAUACAAAUUAAGCUAAGUUGAAUGUGAAGAUAUUUUUUUAUUUAGGUUUAGUUAAGAUGAUUUAUAUAUUGAUUUCAGGGAUGUCGACACUCAGCGAAGAUAUAGGAGAGAAGAAUGACAUCGGGAAGAAUUGACAUCUUGGACAUACAGUAUCUGCUCCAGCAUCUGAAUGUGGAACCCAAGCCGAUGGGAAUUUAAAAGAAACCAAACACACAAACAGCAUUUGACAAUAUCAUAACUGGAGCUGGACAUCUUUGGAGCUGAAGAUUGAGGCCAGUUUUUGUGUGCUA
ensembl:lncRNA